CCUACGGGAGGCUGCAGUGGGGAAUUUUGGACAAUGGACGAAAGUCUGAUCCAGCAAUGCCGCGUGCAGGACGAAGGCCUUCGGGUUGUAAACUGCUUUUGUACGGAACGAAACGGUCUUCUUUAAUACAGAGGGCUAAUGACGGUACCGUAAGAAUAAGCACCGGCUAACUACGUGCCAGCAGCCGCGGUAAUACGUAGGGUGCGAGCGUUAAUCGGAAUUACUGGGCGUAAAGCGUGCGCAGGCGGUUAUAUAAGUCAGAUGUGAAAUCCCCGGGCUCAACCUGGGACCUGCAUUUGAGACUGUAUAGCUAGAGUACGGUAGAGGGGGAUGGAAUUCCGCGUGUAGCAGUGAAAUGCGUAGAUAUGCGGAGGAACACCGAUGGCGAAGGCAAUCCCCUGGACCUGUACUGACGCUCAUGCACGAAAGCGUGGGGAGCAAACAGGAUUAGAUACCCGUGUAGUC
rnacentral:rRNA from 1 species